AUUCACCCAUGUCUUUUGCGCACUUCUUGUUUCCUGGGCGGGUUCGCCCGCCACCAGGACCCAACCAUAAACCUUUUUGUAAUUGCAAUCAGCGUCAGUAAACAAUGUAAUUAUUACAACUUUCAACAACGGAUCUCUUGGUUCUGGCAUCGAUGAAGAACGCAGCGAAAUGCGAUACGUAGUGUGAAUUGCAGAAUUCAGUGAAUCAUCGAAUCUUUGAACGCACAUUGCGCCCUUUGGUAUUCCAAAGGGCAUGCCUGUUCGAGCGUCAUUUGUACCCUCAAGCUUUGCUUGGUGUUGGGCGUCUUGUCUCUCGCGAGACUCGCCUUAAAAUGAUUGGCAGCCGACCUACUGGUUUCGGAGCGCAGCACAAUUCUUGCACUUUGAAUCAGCCCUGGUUGAGCAUCCAUCAAGACCACAUUUUUUAACUUUUGACCUCGGAUCAGGUAGGGAUACCCGCUGAACUUAAGCAUAUCAAU
rnacentral:rRNA from 1 species